AUUGAACGCUGGCGGCAGGCCUAACACAUGCAAGUCGAGCGGAUGACGGGAGCUUGCUCCUGGAUUCAGCGGCGGACGGGUGAGUAAUGCCUAGGAAUCUGCCUGGUAGUGGGGGACAACGUUUCGAAAGGAACGCUAAUACCGCAUACGUCCUACGGGAGAAAGCAGGGGACCUUCGGGCCUUGCGCUAUCAGAUGAGCCUAGGUCGGAUUAGCUAGUUGGUGAGGUAAUGGCUCACCAAGGCGACGAUCCGUAACUGGUCUGAGAGGAUGAGCAGUGACACUGGAACUGAGACACGGUCCAGACUCCUACGGGAGGCAGCAGUGGGGAAUAUUGGACAAUGGGCGAAAGCCUGAUCCAGCCAUGCCGCGUGUGUGAAGAAGGUCUUCGGAUUGUAAAGCACUUUAAGUUGGGAGGAAGGGCAGUAAGCGAAUACCUUGCUGUUUUGACGUUACCGACAGAAUAAGCACCGGCUAACUCUGUGCCAGCCGCCGCCGUAA
rnacentral:rRNA from 1 species